rnacentral:rRNA from 1 species
AUGGCUUUGAUGUCAAACCGGAGAUGGUUAAUGAGAAAAUUGUUGUGCUGGCCUGCGUCUUGCUUGAUUGUGAAUAUAUUGAUAAGAAAAAUUACACUCUUGGGCGUCGCUGCUGACUACCUUAAGGCUACGUCUGGCUUUAAUGUUGAAGGAUGGGACCUGAUUAAGCUUGUGACGGCUCUGAUGAUCAUCCGUAACCGUGCAGAAACAAAUAUAGCUGACAAAGAGAUGUUUACAGGUGAUGAGCUAUCGAAGUUGGAGAUGGAUGCGCAUAAAUAUAGUACUGUGAUUUCUAAGGCUCUUUGCUUGAACAUGUACAAAGAAAUCAUGGAGACGCGUGAAUGUAGGACAGUGGUUCUAAGGAAAUUGGAGUUCCGUGUUAAGGAGGCCAGAGAAGCUUGGAAAGCUGAACAAGAGCAUGUGCGAAGCCGAAAAGCAUAA